AGCCGAGCUGAACAACCUCAGGCAGAGAGAUUCUGGUUUACUCCCCAGUGGCUACGGAGACGCCUUGGAGGCCUUGGAGUCUGCUCACCUUGAGGGAUGGAGGCCAAAAGGGGCCCAGAGCACAAGGCUGAGCACCGCUGGGUUGAGGUCUCCAUGACCAAGCUGGUCUCAGCAAGUGGCGCCCAAACAUGGGGCUCGAACCCGGGUCGAAGGGUCGCCAGAGCGAUGGUUGGAGAACAUGGAACUACGCUGGAGCACACCUGAGUACUCUUAAGCAAUCCCCAUGGUAAGUAAGAAGGGGAGCUCGGAAGCAUCAGGGUAACAAUGGGACAAGGGUCAAGCAGGCACAAGGCUUAUUUGAGUCUGCCUCGGCAGCUCCUCAGAAAAGGAGGAGUGAAAGUUAGCACUAGCUGACUUAUGCAGCUUUUUAGUAUGGUAGAGAAAUAUUGCCCCUGGUUUCCGACUGAGGAAAUAUGGAUGUAGAGGUCUGGGAGGAGGUAGGCAGCGCACUGAAAAAGGCGUAUAAGGAUGGUGCUGAGGAUAUUCCUAUAACUGUCUGGUCAGUGUGGGCUCUGAUUCAUUCCACCUUGGAAGCUUUUCACACUGAUGAUGAGGAGGAAGGAGACAAAGAAGAGAGGGAGUGUGAUAAUGUUGCAGAAGAGAUAAAAGAACAGAUCCGUCAACCACUUAAAGAGACCCAAGAAGGGGAAGCUUGUCCCUGCCCCUCAGCACCUCCUCAAUACCUUGAAGAUAGGGAAUGGCCUGACCCUCUGGAUCUUUCUUUUCUGGAGGACACUGAGCAAAAAGUAGUCUCCCCAGCAACUGUUCGAGCAGAGCCCCGAGUGACCGCCCUCAGUUCUAUUCAGGCAGGAAUUCAGCAAGCUAGAAGAGAGGGUAAUUUAGAGGCUUGGAAGUUCCCUGUUAGGAUACACCCCCCAGAUCAACAGGGGAAUGUUAUGGCUACAUUUGAGGCUUUUCCCUUUAAAUUACUGAAUGAGUUUAAACAGGCUAUCAAUCAGUAUGGACCACGUUCUCCUUUCGUGAUGGGUCUGUCAAAAAAUGUUGCUACCUCCAGUCAGAUGAUUCCCAUUGAUGGGACACUCUUACUCGAGCCUGUCUGGCUCCUGCUCAGUUUUUACAGUUUAAGACCUGGUGGCCAGAUGAAGCUUCUAUUCAAGCUGCCUGCAGUGCACAAAUUCAACCUCCAAUUAAUGUAACUACCGACCAACUUUUGAGAGUUGGUGGCUGGGCUGCAUUAGACGCACAAGUGGUCAUGCAGGAUGAUGUUAUAGAUCAGCUUAGAGGAGUGUGCAUUAGAGCUUGGGAAAAAAAUCUCUUCAGGUGGAGAACAAUACCCUUAUUUUAGUGCUGUUAAGCAGGGGCCAAAAGAACCCUAUGCAGAUUUUAUAGCUUGGUUACAGGAGUCUCUUAAAAAGGUGAUUGCAGAUUCAACUGCUCAGGAUAUAGUGUUGCAGUUAUUAGCUUUUGACAAUGCUAAUCCCAAGUGCCAGGCUGCUCUGUGACCUGUUAGAGGGAAAGCACAUUUAGUUGAUUAUAUCAAGGCCUGUGACAGUAUUGGAGGUAAUCUGCAUAAAGCUACUCUGUUAAUGCAAGCCAUGGGAGGACUGAGAGUGGGUAAAGGAAAUGCUCCAUUUCCUGAAGCUUGUUUCAACUGCAGGAAACAUGGGCAUACGAGAGAGAAUGUAGAAAAAAUCAGAGGGUCCAACUACCCAUUGAUGGAAAAAAGAAAACUGCUGAACCAGGUCUAUACCUGAAGUGUAAAAAAGGAAAGCACUGGGCCAAUCAGUGUCAUUCUAAAUUUGAUAAAGACGGAAACCCGAUUUCGAGAAACGCCAUGAGGGGCCAAUCCUGAGCCACAUUCCAAACCAGGGCAUUCCUGGCUCAGACCACUCCCUCACCCCUGUAUAAUGCUUGUCCCCCGCCACAGCUGGUAGUGCCUCAGUAGAUCUGUGUUGCACCAGGGCUGUGAGUCUCCUGCCUGGAAAGCCACUGCAGAAGGUACCAACAGGAGUCUGCGGACCUCUGCCAGCAGGAAUGGUAGGACUACUUCUGGGAAGAUCUAGUUUAAAUUUAAAAGGAGUGCAGGUUCAUACAGGAGUAAUUGAUUUGGAUUGUAACGGGGAAAUUCAAAUCGUUAUAUCUACCUCUGUUCCUUAAAAGGCAGAACCGGGAGAGCGUAUAGGGCAGCUUCUGAUUUUACCGUAUGUGGGACUAGGAAAAAGUGAAACUAAAAGAACAAGGGGAUUUGGCAGUACAAAUAAACAAGGGAGAGCCACCUACUGGGUAAAUCAAAUUACUGAUAACCAUCCUACCUGUGAAAAAACUAUUCAGCGAAAGAAAUUUAAAGGUUUGGUAGAUACAGGAGUGGACAUUUCAAUCAUAUCUCUACAUCACUGGCCGUCUGCAUGGCCAAUUCAGCCUGCUCAAUUUAACAUAGUUGGAGUUGAUAAAGCCCCUGAAGUAUAUCAAAGUAGUUAUACUUUGCAUUGUAAAGGGCCCGAUGGACAACCUGGGACUAUUCAACCAAUUAUAACUUCUAUACCUAUAAAUUUAUGGGGGCUCUCCCCCCAUACAUUUAUUACAACAAUGGGGAGCACAAGUUCUAAUUCCUGAGCAAUUAUACAGCCCUCAAAGUCAACAUAUGAUGCAUGAAAUGGGGUAUGUCCAUGGUAUGGAACUAGGAAAAAAUUUGCAAGGUUUGAAGGAAUCUCUUCAAGCGGAAAGACAAAGUUCCCGCCAAGACUUAGGAUACCAUUUUUGAUGGUAAGCCUGCAGAGCCUAUCCUGUUAAAAUGGCUGACAGACAGGCCAAUAUGGAUAGAACAGUGGCCGCUGAGUAAAGAGAAACUGGAGGCUUUAAAUGAACUAGUCAAAGAACAGCUUCAAAAGGAACAUAUAGCUCAAACUCUCUCCCCUUGGAAUUCCCCAGUUUUCGUAAUUAAGACAAAACCAGGUAAAUGGAGAAUGUUAACUGACUUAAGGGCUAUUAAUUCAGCUAUAUAACCUAUUGGGGCAUUACAGCCAGGACUGCCUUCUCCUGCUAUGAUUCCAAAAAAUUGGCCUUUAAUAGCCAUAGAUUUAAAAGACUUGUUUCUUUACUAUCCCCUUAGCUCAGCAGGACUGUGAACAGUUUGCAAUUACGAUUCCUGUGGUAAACAACUUGCAGGCUGCUAAGCGUUUUAAUUGGAAAGUGUUGCACAAGGCAUGUUAAACAGUCCAACAAUUUGCCAGACUUAUGUAGGGCAAGCAAUUGAACCUACUCAUAAAAGAUUUUCACAGUGUUACAUUAUUCAUCAUAUGGAUGAUAUUCUUUGUGCUUCCCCCACUCCGGAAAUAUUACUCCAAUGUUACGGUCACUUGGAGAAUUCAAUUUCUCAUGCCAGUUUAAUUAUAGCUCCUGACGCAAUUCAGACUACUACUCCUUACGUCUACUUGGGGGCCUUAGUAAAUGUCACCACAAUAAUGCCACAGAAAGUAGCCAUAUGUAGGAUCAAUAGAAAACAUUGAAUCAGACUUUCAAAAUUUACUAGGGUAUAUUAAUUGGAUACCGCCUGCUCUAGGCAUUCUGACUUAUGCCAUGAGUACUCUGUUUUCUAUCUUUAGAGGAGAUCCUAGUGUCACAAGCCCUUGGCAAUUAACAAAAGAAGCUGAGGCAGAGCUGCAGCUAAUUGAAAAGCAAGUCCAUAAGGCCCAAAUAAAUAGAAUAGAUCUAGAGAAUACUCUAGAUUUGCUCAUUUUUCCAACUCAGCAUUCACCUACUGGUGUUAUUGUUCAAGAGCGAGAUCUUGUGGCGUAGCUUUUCCUUCCAUAUACUAAUUCACGGACUUUGACUCCUUAUUUGGAUCGAAUUGCUACUAUGAUAGGAAAUGGGAGAACUCGGAUUGUUAAAUUACACGGAUAUGAUCCUGGAAAAAUUAUUAUCCCUCUCACAAAGACACAAAUACAGCAAGCUUUUAUAAAUAGUCUUACUUGUUAAACCCAUUUAGCUGACUUUGUGGGUAUUCUCAAUAACCAUUUUCCUAACAUGAAACUGUUUCAAUUUUUUGAAAUUAACUAAUUGGAUUCUCCCUAAAAUGACUAAAUCAAACCAAUUGAAGGUACUGAGAAUGUCUUCGCAGAUGGGUCUAGUAAUGGUAAAGCCUCUUAUUCUGGAUUGAAAGGUAAAGUUUUUCAGACGCCCUAUACUUCAGCUCAAAAAGCGGAGCUUGAGGCUGUAAUUGAGGCAUUGACUGCUUUUAAUAUGCCUAUUAAUAUGAUUUCUGAUUCUUCAUAUGUGGUUCUACACAGUUAGUUGAAAAUGCUCAGCUACAAUUCCACACAUAAGAGCAACUGAUGACUUUAUUUACCCAAUUGCAAACAGCAGUUAGGAGUAGAAUGCACCCUUUUUACAUCACUCACAUUAGGGCUCAUACACCUCUUCCAGGACCUUUGACUGUAGGGAAUCAAAUGGCUGAUCACCUAGUUGCUACUGCAAUAUCUAAUGCUAGACAAUUCCACAAUUUAACACACGUUAAUGUCUCUGGUCUCAGACACAGAUACAGCAUUACCUGGAAAGAAGCUAAAGCUAUUAACCAGCGAUGCCCAACUUGCCAAAUGAUUCCUUGAGGAUUGGAACCUAAUUCUCUUUGGCAAAUGGAUGUCACACAUGUUCCCUCGUUUGGGAGACUAGCUUAUGUACAUGUAUGUGUAGACACCUUUUCUCACUUUGUCUGGGCUACAUGCCAAUCAGGAGAGUCUUCUGCCUGUGUUAAACAUCACCUUUUGCAGUGUUUUGUGGUGAUGGGCAUUCCAGCUUCUAUUAAAACAGAUAAUGCCCCAAGCUAUACUAGCCAAGCUCUAGCUACAUUUUUCUCUAUAUGGAAUAUUGAAGACAUUACUGGUAUCCCAUAUAAUUCUCAAGGACAAGCUAUAGUGGAAAGAAUGAAUCUCUCCCUAAAACAGCAGUUGCAAAAACAGAAAGGGGGAGACAGUGACUAUAGGACUCCACACAUGCAACUAAAUCUAGCAUUAUUAACUUUAAAUUUUUUGAGCCUGCCUAAAGGCCGAUUGUUAUCAGCAGCUGAAAAACAUUUACAGAAGACAGCUGCAAAGGCAGAAGUGGAACAAUGGGUUUGGUGGAAAGGACCCAAUAACAAAAGAUUGGGAAACAGGUAAAAUAAUAACAUGGGGCAGAGGUUAUGCUUGUGUUUCUAAAGGACUGAAUCAACAGCCAAUUUGGGUGCCAUUGAGACAUCUAAAGCCCUACUAUGUUGGGGUGAUCAGACUGAACACUAGGCCAUGGGGGCUACGAAGUAUGGCAGAGUCAAAGGAAUGAGACAAGUUAAGAGUUCAUAGGGUGGGUCCAGGGGGCCAACACUAGUAUGGAGGCUGCGAAGUCCCUGAGCUCUGGGAGCCCACACUAUUUAUUGGUGAUCAAAGAAGCAGGUGGUGAGGACGUGUGGACAUGGGGGUAGACAGGUGAGGAUGUGGGGGUAGAAAGGUAGCUGUGAUGGUUUAGCAUAUGCUCUGCUACUUGAGAUAAUGGAGAAUAGGUUCUUCUAACUCAAGAUACAAUCAAUUUAUGAGCCACAAGGGGUUUUAUGCCCUGGGCUUAGACUGUAGUGCAGCGGGGCAGCCUUCCAUCCUUAGGCACAGAGCUUGGUGUUCCAUAGGCCACAAGGGGUUUUAGACCCGGGACCCAGGACAUGUUCCAAGACUCUUUUACAUUAUGUCAGACAAGCAGGCCCUGCCUCAGCCCUUCUACCGACACAGAAAGUGGAACAACGGGUUUGGUGGAAAGACCCGAUAACAAAAGGUUGUGAAACAGGUAAAAUAAUAACAUGGGGCAGAGGUUAUGCUUGUGUUUCUCCAGGACAGAAUCAACAGCCAAUUUGGGUGCCAUCGAGAUAUCUAAAGCCCUACUAUGAGCCAGAUAACGAGGAAGAGGUUUUGGGAGGAUCCCAAACACCCACUGGUGGCAGCAUUGUCCAAGUUGAUGCUGAGGAUGACCCCCAACUGUCACGAGCAACACUCAUCGAAAGCAGCCACCUACCUGGGGACAGAUCAAGAAGCUGUCACAGAUGGUGGAAGAAAACCUGAGGAAAGCAGGACAAGCAGUCACAUCUGCAGAUGCGGAUCCUGACUCCUGCAAGAAGUAGCUCACUGUGAUAAAGCCGCCUUUGCUUUUAUUGCCCUGGUAAAACAAAAAGGGGGACAUGCUGGGAAUAGGCCCCAAGCCUGGCCAUAAACAAGCCAUAAGAAAAGUCAUAAACAAGAUCUCUGCAGCACUGUGACAUGCUCGUGAUGGUUAUGAUGCACACACUGGAGGUUGCUGGUUCACCAGAAUGAGGGCAAGGAACACCUGGCCCACCCAGGGCGGAAAACUGCUCAAGGUGUUCCUAAACCACAAACAAUGGCAUAAGCAAUCUGUGCCUUAAUGACAUGCUCCUGCUGCAGAUAACAAGCCAGAGCCUGUCCCUUUGUUCUCCUUAAAGAAUACUUUCAGUUAAUCUACAAACUACAGAAACGAUGUUUAUCACAGGCUGUCAAUAAAUAGGUGGGUCAAACUCUGUUCGAGGCUCUCAGCUCUGAAGGCUGUUAGCCCCCUGAUCCCACUUUGCACUCUA